CCUACGGGGGGCAGCAGUGGGGAAUAUUGCGCAAUGGGCGAAAGCCUGACGCAGCGACGCCGCGUGAGGGAAGACUGCCCUAUGGGUUGUAAACCUCUUUUGUCAGGGAGCAACGCCGGCUACGUGUAGCCGGACUGAGAGUACCUGAAGAAAAAGCAUCGGCUAACUCCGUGCCAGCAGCCGCGGUAAUACGGAGGAUGCGAGGGUUAUCCGGAUUGUUUGGGUUUAAAGGGUGCGUAGGCGGAAUGCCAAGUCAGCGGUAAAAUCGCGGGGCUCAACCUCGCUCCGCCGUUGAAACUGGCGUUCUUGAGUGGGCGAGAAGUAUGCGGAAUGCGUGGUGUAGCGGUGAAAUGCAUAGAUAUCACGCAGAACUCCGAUUGCGAAGGCAGCAUACCGGCGCCCAACUGACGCUGAAGCACGAAAGCGUGGGUAUCGAACAGGAUUAGAUACCCGAGUAGUC
rnacentral:rRNA from 1 species